rnacentral:lncRNA from 1 species
CCAGAAAAGGGGGCUCGGGACUCGAAGAAGUCCGGGAUGGGAGGAAGGGUGGGUGCUCGGUCUGAAAAUAAACACUCUCGCUUCCUGGGGUAAGGGCUAAAAAAGCGAUUAGAAAAGCCUGCCCAGUAGAAAUACCACCUGAAUGUACCUCCUCCCUUUCCCACUGCAACAAGCCCAGUCACUAACUAAUCAGCUAAGACAAAUCCCCUGGAAAACUUUUGCAAACGGGCAGAGAGGACCCUCUCCCCAGCCGGGGGGCUCCCGGGGACGGGGCUGGAGUUUGCAGCCCUGGAAGGGCUCACCGGGGAACGGGGUGGGGCGCGGGCGAGGGGUGCAGGGGCGGAGUACCUUCCACGGACAGGAACUGGCAAAGAGUUUCAAAAUAGCCGAGUGCUCUCCCCCACGCCCUCGGGGGUCGCGAGCGCUAGGACCGGGGCUCCCCGAAAGGAGGCCAGCCCCCAAUUCGGGCCUAAAAGGAAACUUUCCGGGCCGCGGCUGCACCUGACUCCUCCACCGCCCCUCCACCCCACCCCACGCCCGCAAGGCCGCCCGCCCCGCCCCGGCCUGGGCCGCCCGGAGCGCAGAGGAGGGGGAGAAAUAAAUCCAACUAUUACCGGAAUCGGGGGUGGGGGACGUCGUCGAGAGACUCGGGGGAGGGAGCGGCUGGACGCCCAUUCCCCACUCUUAGGCCCUGACGCCCCUGUCCCGGCCACCCCGGGCCUGCCGCCCCGCCGGGGAACCUCCGGGGGGCCCGCGCAGGAUUCGGCCCAGCAGCGCUGCCGUCCCGCCUGGAGGCCCCGAGGGACCCGAAGGGGCGCGAGGAGGCCCGGGAUCAGAGUGAGAGGCGCUGGCAAUGGACUAGGAAGCUCGGCUGCCGCUGCUACUGCUCCCCCCUGGGCUCCAGCGAGAGCCUUUCCCUGUCAAGCAAGAGGGGUGAGGAUCAUAUUUUUAUUUUGGAAACUAAAAAGUGCUCCCAGGGUCGGUGAUUAUUAA